CCGCGAUCUGUCCUCAACUCCAUCAGACCAAUUAUCUCUGCGCCCUAACGCCACUUCACACUUUAUUCCUCUCCCACUUGUUCGAAACGCGCUUCUAAGCCCUGGGAAGUGCUUGCACGCUUCCACAUUUUCACAACAGUGAUGGAAGUCACUAGCCCCCAACUCAUCCUCAAGAGGCUCUGGGUCAAUGCACCAAUACACAGGUAGAACAGCGGGAAGUGGUGUGUUCCUCUUCAAUGAUGUGGGACGUCAGGAAGAUGUCCCGUGUCCCGGAUGACUACAAGAGGCGCCUCCGCCACGGCUUCUUACGACCACGUUAGGGAAAUGGCGUGCUGCUGUGACUGGUGCUGGGUCCAUUGUUGUUUGUCAUCUGUAUCAAUGAUCUGGAUGGUAACGUGGCCCGCUGGAUCAGCAAAUUUAUGGACGACACCAAGUUUGGAGUGUAGUGGAAAGUGAGGCAGGCUAUUAAAGUUUGCAAAAUGAUCUGGACUAGCUGGGAAAAUGGGCUGAAAACUGGCAGAUAGAAUUUAAUGCAGACAAUUAUGGGUUUUGUACCUUGGAAGGACAAACCAGGGCAAGACUUGUACAGUGAAUGGUAGUAAACUGAGGAGUAAAGUAGAACUAAGGCAGUGGUGUGUUUCCCUGUGGGUGAUGUGUGAAGUCAGGGAUAACAUUAACAUGGACAUCUAAAUGAGCUGAUUAGUAAAUUUGCAGAUGGUACAAAAAUUGGUGGAAUUGUAAAUAAUGAAGUUUAUCAAAGGAUAAAGAUACAGAGGUAAACUUGGCGGGAACUGUUCAUAAAAUUGAGGCAAGAUGGGAGGAACAAUUUGAGCACACGUGGGAUAUGGAAUUGCGAGCUUUAUUGCAAGACCAGGUAACUAGAGCCAUCAGACAUUUAGUCUCUCAGGUAAUCAGGGAUUUCGAGAAUGGGGUACACGGCUGGAGGGUUGGACAACUGAGAUCACGAGAAAGGCUGCAGAUGCUGGAAAUCUGGAGCAACACACACAAAACCUACAGUGAUUUGUGGAUAAUUGGGACCUCUGGGGUCAAGGUCUUUGGGGCAUUACAACAUCAUGGCAGCACCAAAAGGAGAAUUUCACCAUUUGUGUGUUGCAGUGCCUGUGUUAUGAGACUGAAUUUCUAGGGCUAUGCAUUUCAGUGUGGAAAUUUUGUUUGAUAACGUUUCUCUGAAGCUCCAUUAUGUUGCUAUUAAUGUUGAAUGUGAUUUAUGUUGUUGGUGCCAAAAAAACAAGAUGAGGUUUGAAAACAUCUAAGAAGUAAUGCCUGUAUUUACGAUGUCCUUCUAAUUUGAAUUAAGCAGUCAGUUUUGCCACGGACAGCAACGGGAUGAGAAAUUAGCAGUAUGACAGUCGAUUCUGGAUUCAGCAAGCCAUCGAGUUCUGCUUCCAUUGAUUUAGGAGUCACUUAAAGGUCAAAUUAUGAAGAAAUUAUUUCAAUAGAUUUUCUGUGAAUUAAACCAAUGAGCAAAUUACUCAAGGAGAAUAUAAUGGAGAGGAUUAUGAAUAGAGUUUCUUUAGUAGUAGACUGUCAUAACCUUCAGAUAUGAUUCUUUGAUACAGAAGGUAAAAAAUCUUGCAAUUUGUAAGUGACUUAACAUGUCUCUAAAAUUCUCAUUUAUCAAGAAUGACUUAGAAAUUGUUGAUGUGUGCAAUCAUAUAACUGCUCUUCACAUUAGAUCAUAACUGAUUUACUUAUUCAAUUUUCAACAGUCCUUUGCAAGGAAAAAAGUCUCCAGGAGCUCUUUGUUAUCUAUGCUAAAAAUGGACAGACCAAACAAUUAUUUAACAGAGAACCAUAGAAGUGCAAAAAUGAAUUCAAUGCAGUUCACCAUCUCUACUGCUCUGGAGUGUCACUCUAGGUUAUGCCCCUGAAUGGGGUUUUAAUUCUUUAUGGCUUAGAGUCAAGUUCUUCUACAAGCUAAACCAGGAUCAUUUUUUGGAGUAUCAUUCUAUAUUUCUGUGUUAAGGUACUUUUUUCUUUGCAUUAAUACCUCUAAUGGGAGGAACCAAAAAAUCUAUUACAAUCAUACAGAUAGUAUGAUAGAAUUAAUUUUAAAGAACAUAAUCAAUGAAUUUUUAUCAAGAAAUAUUUCUCAUUGGCUAGAUUAGGAAACAUUUUUGGGAUGCUAAGGUUUCUAUCAUUCACUGCUGGGUAACAUUAUCUUUAUACUCUUCACUUCUUAUUGCACCAGGGAGAGAUUAAACACUUGGACAGGGAAAACAAAUCGUAUGUAUUAAAAUAAUAUUGUCAGUAGGUAAAAACAAAGCUCCUUCCAUCUUAUCUGUUGGACAUGGCAGGUGAUUUUCUAUCUGGACAUUACAGAAAUUCUCAUUUCUCUCUGCCUACCAACGGAUCAGAAAUGCCUGUUCCUGGUGACAACAUUAUUUGAUUGUGUCGCAAGAGAGACAGGAUGACCUUUGUAGUUGAAAAGAACUGUUAAGUUGUCAGUGGUAUGAAGAAAAAUGGCAAUUGUCUCAACUCAACCACUCCACAUUUCAAAGUUACAGUAACCAUUUCCUUCUGCUAUUAUAGUUUAUAUAUUUAAAUAACAUUAUCUCAUGAUAUCAAGGAUUUUUAAUCUUCCAGAUGGACCACAUAUUGCUUUGCAUAUGAAGUGUAUUCCAAUCAAUGCUUUAUUUUUUUAAGAAGAUCCAUGUACAAUUUAGAGGGUGGUUUAAUUUAUGUUUGACUGUCAAGUAAUGGCUUUUUGUCUUUGAAAAUCAAGAAAGUAAACAAAAGGAACUAUUGAAUAAGGAUUUACUCAUUCAGCCCAUUAAUACAUUCCCUGUCAAUGGCCUAUAGAUUGCCCAAGGACUUUCUAAAACAAACCUAGUGAUGGACAGCCACAGAUAUUAGAGAUUCUAUAGAACUCAAAAAAGAAUCAAAAUCCCAACAAAUCGUCCUUAUAAUUAUUUUCUUGACCCUAUCUAACAUCUUUACACCCUUCCAGUAACAUGGCUAUCAGAACUGAACACCAAAAUUGAGAAAGAUUCAGCACAAAGUCCCUGCUUUUAUAUUUUGGUCCCAUCAAUCCCAGAAUUGUGUAUAUCUUUUAAACUGCUUUCUCAACCUGCCCUGCCACUCUCUUUUAAGCCCAUGUAACCCAAGGUCCCCGUAGUCCUGCAAGUUUGCACGUCUUUGGAAUGGAGAAGGCAUGGCAAAGGAGUGACUCGGCUGUGAUUGCUAAUCCAAUUGACUUCAUUUACAAAUCUCAUUUCCCCACAGUACUGAGCAACUAAAAAUGCAAUCUGACAAAGUUUGUCAUUCCAUUAUCAAGAGUCUUCACCACUUCUGAGUCUAAUGUUGGCAUCAGUUAUUAAAUAAUCACAGUGGGUAACUUUGUCAUCACUCAUACUGAUAGAAUGCAUCUCUGCUUAUGAUGUGGGAUUUAACAGGACAAGGGAGUUCACACCACAGAAUAUCAUAAUAUUGACUACCUUCUAGAACUGUAUACCAUCAUAAUGUGGGGGCUGCCUGUAUUGUUCUGCCUGAUUUUCUUUUGGCUGAAUUUUCAAUGUAGCAGGGUUAAAACCCUGUUCAUUUUGGAAUGCCCAAGAAAAGGCAAUAUGGGCCAAUGGCCCCAAGUUCCCUUCCAAUGUCUUAAAAGGAUCACCGUGAGCAUCAUCUUUUGUGUUCUUAGAAACAAUACUAGGUAAUCCCCUGCUAAAACUAAUCAUGAUGGGACAUAGGGACACAGAAGAAUGCUGGGAUCUGGGGUUCAAAAAUACUACUGCAGGAACUCAUCUGAGAAGGCAAAUGUCAAUCCAAAACUUCAGCUACCCCUUUGCCUCCGAAGGUGCUCCUCGACCAGCUGAGUUCCUUCAGCAGUUUGUUAUUUGCUCAUGUUGAAAUAUCCUGAUUGGCACAAUUCAACUCAAUAUUGGUCAUAAGCACAACUUAUUUCAGCUUGAAUCAAUUUUAAAGCACUGAAGAGUAAUGGCGUAAUGCAAAUGCAACAUUUAAAUAAUAAUCUCAUAAUAAUUAUUUACAACUGAUUGAGAAUUUACUUUACAUCAGUCAGUAGUGAUUAGUGGCGCUUGUUUUAUAUUCGUACCCACACCUGUUAUUCCCUUUGUCUGUUCAGUCCAUAUACUACACUCAGUGUGAAAAGGUCAUCCUUCAAUUCCCUGUUCAAUUUUUUCCCCUCACAUCCAAUAUCCAUGCCUUUGCGUUUUAGAUUCAACCACCCUGAGAAAAAAAGACUGAUCAUUCACCCACUCUAUACCUUUCAUGUUUUUAUAUGCUUCCAGAAGGUCAAAUCUGCUCAAGUGAAAUAUGGCCCAGGCGAUCCAGUCUCUCCUUAUGAUUCAAGCCCACCAGUCCCAGCAACAUCUUCUGAAUCUUUUGUGCCCUUUUUCCAGCUUAAUAACAUCCUUCCUGUAACUAGGUGACCAGAAAUGCACAGAAGACACUGUGCCAUACAGCUAUAACAUGAUAUCUCAGUUCUUGUACUUGAUACUCUGCCCAAAGAGGGCAACUGUGCCAAAGGUUUUCUCUAUCUCCCUCUUUGCCUGUGCCACCACUUACAGGGGAUUAUGUAUUUGUAUCCCCAUGUCUCACUGUUCUACUACACUCUCCAGGGCUCUUACAUUAACUGUGUAAUUCCUACACUGGUUUAACUUAACAAAAUGUAACAUUUUACACUGGACCAAGUUCCAUCUCAUUCCUUAAUCCACUUUCCCAGUUGAUCUAGAUCCCAUUUCAAUCUUAAAUAACUUUCUUUACUGUCCAUUAUACACAGUUUUGGUGUCUUCCCACAGACUAACCAUGCCAACUACAUUUUCAGCCAAACUGUCGAUAUAGAUAAAGAACCAAUAGUGAUCCCAGCACUGAUCCCUGUGGCACAUUGAUAGUCACAGACUUACAAUCUUAAAAAUAACUAUCCAUACCACCCUCUGGCUCUUACCACAAAGCCUAUUUUGUAUCAAAAUGGCUCACUCUGGAUACUAUGUGUUCUAACCUACCAUACAGGACUUUGUCCAAGAUCUUGCUAAAGCCAAUGCAGACAACAUUCACUGCUCUGCCCUUAAUAAUUCUCAUGGACAUCUCUUCAAAACUCAAUCAAAUUCAUGUGACAGUUUUUCCGUGCAUUAAAC